rnacentral:rRNA from 1 species
GACAGAGGGUGCGAACGUUGUUCGGAAUUACUGGGCGUAAAGCGCAUGUAGGCGGCAGCGCAAGUCGGGCGUGAAAUCCCACGGCUCAACCGUGGAAGUGCACUCGAAACUGCGCAGCUAGAGUCCUGGAGAGGAAGGUGGAAUGCUUGGUGUAGAGGUGAAAUUCGUAGAUAUCAAGCAGAACAACCUGCGGCGAAGGCGGACCUUCUCGGACGAGUGGACUGACGCUGAGACGCGAAAGCGUGGGGAGCAAACAGG